rnacentral:rRNA from 1 species
AUUGAACGCUGGCGGCAUGCCUUACACAUGCAAGUCGAACGGCAGCAUGGAGAGCUUGCUCUCUGAUGGCGAGUGGCGAACGGGUGAGUAAUGCAUCGGAACGUACCGUGUAAUGGGGGAUAACGUAGCGAAAGUUACGCUAAUACCGCAUACGACCUGAGGGUGAAAGUAGGGGAUCGCAAGACCUUGCGUUAUACGAGCGGCCGAUGUCAGAUUAGCUAGUUGGUGAGGUAAAGGCUCACCAAGGCGACGAUCUGUAGCGGGUCUGAGAGGAUGAUCCGCCACACUGGGACUGAGACACGGCCCAGACUCCUACGGGAGGCAGCAGUGGGGAAUUUUGGACAGUGGGGGCAACCCUGAUCCAGCCAUCCCGCGUGCAGGAUGACGGCCCUAUGGGUUGUAAACUGCUUUUGUACCUGAAGAAACCUGUUUACGAGUAGACAGUUGCCGGUAAGGUAUGAAUAAGCAUCGGCUAACUCCGUGCCAGCAGCCGCGGUAA